UACGAAGGGGGCUAGCGUUGCUCGGAAUCACUGGGCGUAAAGCGCACGUAGGCGGACUCUUAAGUCGGUGGUGAAAUCCUGGAGCUCAACUCCAGAACUGCCUUCGAUACUGGGAGUCUCGAGUCCGGGAGAGGUGAGUGGAACUGCGAGUGUAGAGGUGAAAUUCGUAGAUAUUCGCAAGAACACCAGUGGCGAAGGCGGCUCACUGGCCCGGUACUGACGCUCAGGUUCGAAAGCGUGGGGAGCAAACAGG
rnacentral:rRNA from 1 species